GAUGAACGCUGGCGGCGUGCUUAACACAUGCAAGUCGUACGGUAAGGCCCUAUCGGGGGUACACGAGUGGUGAACGGGGGCGUAACACGUACGUAACCUGCCCACAACUUUGGGAUUACGAUAGGAAACUGGAGCCAUUACUGGAUCUGUGCUCUUGCUUCAAGGUGGUGGUUGGAAAGUUCCGGCCGGUGUGGAUGGACUCGCGGCAUAUCAGCUUGUUGGAGGGGUAGUGGCCUACCAAGGCGGCGACGGGUAGCCGGCCUGAGUGGGUGACCGGCCAUACUGACACUGAGAUACGGCCCAGACACCUACGGUGCGCAGCUGUGCGAAAUAUUGCACAAGGGGCGCAAGCCGAGUGCAGCAACUCCGCGUGCGGGAUGACGGCCUUCGGAUUGUAAACCGCUUUCAGAAGUAACGGUGCUUAUUGUGACGGUACCUACAGAGGAAGCAACGGCUAACUACGUG
rnacentral:rRNA from 1 species